GCCUUAGUGCAGUGUACUCCGAGCAGUACUCAGUGCUCUGUUUUGAGGAUUACUUACAGACUACACAGUGCUGUGACCUAGAUGUUCCAAGAAUAAGAGCAUGCAGUUGAGAUCUUGUUAUUUUCAAGGUUCCCAAAGGACCUAUUAACAGCAGACUUUUAUGGAACGUGGUUAAUGGUUAAACUGGUGAAAAUAACUGCACAAGUUAUACUUACCAUAGUGUUUGUGACCUAAUCACCUCUCUUAAUGUUCAACUGGAAGUGAUAAUAAAGACAGAGUUCAAAACCCAACUGAGAUGAAGGGAUCCUUGGAUAUUUGUCACACGAGAACAAAAGGAAGUCCCUUGUUCUGAGGUGUACAGCAAAAUGCAUGAGACGAG
rnacentral:lncRNA from 1 species